CUUAGAACCGAAAACCGAAAAUCGAAACCGAAACACAAACCAAAUCGAACCGCACCGAACUGUUUGGUUUUGCGAUUUUGAAAUGGUUUCAGUUUUGAAACCGAACCGCAACAUAGAAAACGGUUUGGUUUCAGUUUUGGCUUUUGAAAACCGCAUCGAAAUCGAACCGCACCGCAAAUAUUAAUAAACAUUUAAUUAAAUGUUCAUAUUAGAUUUCAUAUUUUAAUUGUUGUUUGUUAGAAUCCAUACACUCAGUACGGACUCAACCACACAAGAAUAUCAUCAUUCAUCACUUUUUUUCGUUCAUUAACUUGAAGAACCUCUGUUAUUUUAUACCAUCACACACACACACAUAUAUGUACAAGGGUGGACUAAUCUUGUUAUCAAGAGUCGAACAAUGAUCUAAUGAAGUCCACUCAUUUGAAGCAUGAUAUCAUAUAUUCUAGUAUGAAAGUUUCACUCACGUUAAAUGAAUUCAAAGUUAUUCAACUUGUUUUAUGUUACACCUUGUAUGGGAUACCCUUUUGUUGCAUAAACAUGUUUUAACAUCACAACUGCAUUCAACAUGCUAAUUGUUUGCAUAACAAAUGUCUUUUUCCUAUUGCUACUGGGAAAUGCUUAUUAAUAUACUAAAUUGCAAAUUGUAAACUUUUUUCUUAAAAACCAAACAAAAACCGUUUGAAACCUCACCUCACCGAACCAAACGGUUUGGUUUUAUUUCGAUUUUGGCUUCAAAACCGCACUGAACCAAACCGCAAAAAUUUUCGGUUUCGGUUUCGGUUUCACUCAAAACCGCACCAAACCAAACUGUGCCCACCCCUAAUAGAAACACAUUUUGUUGAUGCACAAAAUCAGUGAGGAUUUUGGUACAACAGAAAGUGUUAAGUUUGUGACCUUCGCUAGGUUGCU
rnacentral:lncRNA from 1 species